CUGUCACCCAGGCUGGAGUGCAGGGGUAUAAUCUCGGCUCACUGCAACCUCCACUUCCCAGGUUCAAGCAAUUCUCCCAUCUCAACCUCCUGAGUAGCUGAGACUACAGGCGUCUGCCACCACGCCUGGCUAAUUUUUGUAUUUUUAGUAGAGACAGGGUUUCACCUUGUUGGUCUGGCUGGUCUUGAACUCCUGACCUCAGGUGAUCCACCAGCCUCGGCCUCCCAGUGUGCUGGGAUUAUGGGCGUGAGCCACCGUGCCUGGUCACAAUCCAGGAAUUGUUUUCUUAAGAGCCUAAGAGUCUUGUCUUUGAAAUGUAAACCUGGAGGAAAAUAGUGUCCCUAUCUUCCUGUUGCCUAGGGAAUUUAGCCUAGGCACCUUGAGCUGUUACUACCUGCUUGUCAAGGAGAUGUGAGAAGUUUUAUUUUUUCAUUGGAUACAGGUAAUUAACUAGCAUGGAUGGCCACGUUGAUUUCCAGGUGAAUUUAGGAUGAGUGUUUAAGAAUGCAUAGCAGGCCAGGCCUGGUGGCUCACACCUGUAAUCCCAGCACUCUGGGGGAGGCAGAGACAGGCGGAUCACUUGAAGCCACACAGAAAUCGAAAGAAGAAGUUUGAGUCCAGCCUGGCCAGUAUGGCGAAACUCUGUCUCUACUAAAAUACAAAUAUUAGCUGGGCAUGAUGGCACGUCUGUAAUUCCAGCUACUUGGGAGGCUUAGGCACGAGAAUCACUUGAACCCAGGAGGUGGAGGUUACAGUGAGCCAAGAAGAUCACACCACUACACUCCAGCCUGGAUGACAGAAUGAGACCCUGUCUCAAAAAAAACAAAACAAAAAAAACUGCAUAGCAAGUCCUUUUGCAUGAGGAUGAGUUACUAUUUAUCUUGAGAGCGUGUAUGCAAUGGAUUGUAUCUGCCAGGCUAUAUAAAAAGGACGCUUUGGCCGGGCGCCAUAGCUCACGCCUAUAAUCCCAGCACUUUGGGAGGCCUAGGCGGGCGAAUUACGAGGUCAGGAUUUCGAGACCAUCCUAGCUAACAUAACGAAACCCCAUCUCUACUAAAAAUACAAAAAAUUAGCCAGGUGUGGUGGCACGCACCUGUAGUCUCAGUUACUUGGGAGGCUGAGGCAGGAGAAUCGCUUAAACUGGGGAGGCGGAGGUUGCAGUGAGCCGAGAUCGCACCACUGCACUCCAGCCUGGGCGACAGAGCAAGAUUUUGUCUCAAAAAAAAAAAAAAAAAAAAAGGAGGGUUUAUUUUUCUUUGCAUCUCAUUAAUGGAUCAUCUGUGAUGGGCAUCACAGUCUGGUUUAAUGCUUAUUCAAUAAUAAAAUUGUUUGCUUUGUCUUCUGAA
rnacentral:lncRNA from 1 species